GGCGCUGUAGCUUAGCUGGUCAAAGCACCUGCCUUGUAAACAAGAGAUCCUGGGCUCAAAUCCCAGCAAUGCCU
rfam:Danio rerio chromosome 4, GRCz11 reference primary assembly.